rnacentral:rRNA from 1 species
UACGUAGGUGGCAAGCGUUGUCCGGAAUUAUUGGGCGUAAAGCGCGCGCAGGCGGUUCCUUAAGUCUGAUGUGAAAGCCCACGGCUCAACCGUGGAGGGUCAUUGGAAACUGGGGAACUUGAGUGCAGGAGAGAAGAGUGGAAUUCCACGUGUAGCGGUGAAAUGCGUAGAGAUGUGGAGGAACACCAGUGGCGAAAGCGACUUUCUGGUCCCAAACUGACGCUGAGGCGCGAAAGCAUGGGGAGCGAACGGG